CAUUAAUUUCUAUUAUGUUACAGCUGUAAUGUUCACAUUUUUUUUAGUUGAGAAUUAAAAUUCAGAUUAGGGUUUCCCUAGUGUCGUCAACUAUAUAUACGGAGCCGCCCCCUGCUCUAUUAGUACAGUAAUUUCAGGGUAAGAUGAUCGAGAUAUGUGAUUCAUUGUUUAUCCAUCAGUCCGCUCACUGUAUACAUCGAUCUCUCUUCGGUCUAUUUGGAUCGGAUCUUAACAUGUUGGUUCGUCAUAGGAAUUUCCAGAUCGUUGCCCAAAGGCGCAAGUUGGCGACUGCGAUUGCGUGCCUAUAAGGACUGGUGAUCCGAAUACACCUUAGGUAGAUUAUUACCUUUCCACACAGCUGAAAGCAUAUCGGUGGUGGAUUUACCGGAUUAUGUGGAAAUCGAUUGGCGAUGAUGUAAGGUUGAGGCAAUGGUUCGGUUUGAAGGUGGGGGCAGCAUGGACAUUUUCAUUUUCUAAUUUUAGAAAGUUGGAUAUAUCAAGCGAAACCAUCCCAUUUCUUAUUGCGGAAACACCAGCAUCAGCAACAACACCAGUGAAACCAUGGUCUUGUGGGCGCGUAUUUAAACAGAUAAAGACUGAUUAGAUGCAGAUGACUGUGCUUGUGAAAGAUCUUCCUGGAUAGAUAUAUAAUUUGUGUUUAUAA